ensembl:lncRNA
AUGUUUAUCAAACGUCGGAUCUGUAGAUAUUUUCUUCCAUUAUGUACGUGGUUCUUUCACUUUGCUGACAGGUUAGAAGCCCCCUUCUCCCACAUCCCUUCUGACUCCAUGUUUGGGUCCCUUCCAGGAACACUCCCUGGUGCAAGCGUCUUUCCCUCUCCUGGGUUUCCCCUCUGGGGUCCCCUUCCUCACUGUCUCAUGGAAGCGCCUUUCCCUCUCCUGGAUUUCCCCUCUGGGGUCCCCUUCCAGGAACACUCCCUGGUGGAAGCGCCUUUCCCUCUCCUGGAUUUCCCCUCUGGGGUCCCCUUCCAGGAACACUCCCUGGUGGAAGCGUCUUUCCCUCUCCUGGAUUUCCCCUCUGUGAUCCCCUUCCAGGAACACUCCCUGGUGGAAGCGUCUUUCCCUCUCCUGGAUUUCCCCUCUCGGGUCCCCUUCCAGGAACACUCCCUGGUGGAAGCAUCUUUCUCUCUCCUGGAUUUUCCCUCUGGGGUCCCCUUCCAGGAACACUACCUCGUGAAAGCGUCUUUCCCUCUCCUGGAUUUCCCCUCUGGGGUCCCCUACCACACUCUCCUGUGGAAGCCUGUCUUCCCUCCUAAACCCCAUCUCUAUUCCCUUCCACUCAGCGUGGAAGCUCUUUCCUCUCCUGGGUUCCAUCUUUCUGGAUUCUCUCACUCAGUGUGGGAGGAGCUUCCUGCCCUGGUUUCCCCCUCUGGGAACCUGCUCACUCAGCGUGAGAGUUUGCUUUUCUCUCUCCAUUUUCUCUCUUUAAAUAAAUCACUUUCUACAAACACUUUUGAGUCGUAUUUCCUGCGCACUGCGCCAUGGUCCCCUCUCUCAUUCUUGAGAGGGCGGGAGACCACGAACCUGGAGAAACGUCCUCUCAGGGGAGGUGAGGGCGCCCUGAACCCCUGAACCCCAAUAUUACAUGCUUACUUGUAACAGUUUAAUAGAUUUCACUCUUCGCCUUCCGCCAUGAGGAAAAGCUCGCUGAGGGCCUCCCGAGAAGCCGAGCAGAGGCGGCUGCCCUGCCUGUGGAGCUGCGGAACCAUGAGCCAGCCAAACCUCUAUUCUCUAUAAAUUACCCAGCCUCGAGCAUUUCUUUAGAGCAAGGAAAGAACGAUCUAAUACACCCAGAAAGCUGAGAAUGGCGUGAGUGAAGCAUAACGACCAUGGAUGAAUUUCAAAAUCUAAAAACAUAAAAUUAAUAUUAUAGGGGGAGUCAAUGCAGGAACAUGAGGGUGCUUGGGCAGAGGCUGUCACCCACUGGUCACAUGUGGUCAGCAGAGAGCAGGAGAACAGCACCCUGGGGCUCUGUGGGAAGCACCCACAGCCUGCAGCUGAGGUUUUAAUUAUAGGGGCCAAAACAAAUGGGGAAAAAGACAAAUUUAGCAUGCAAAGAAAACAGAUGCUCAUCUGAGUCAGGAGGAAGUCACCACCAAUAAGGAAAAAAAUAGAGCUCUGGAAAAGUAGUGAAAACAGUCACAAGGAAGGGCCCCUGUGUCUUGCCUGACUCUGGACAGGUAUAUAGAGAGCCCAGGCUCAGGGGACUCCACACCUGCACCUCCCUGUCUUCUCCUCCUCUACCUACUCCACCCUCAACCCACCAGAAACAUGGGCUGCUGUGGCUGCUCCGGAGGCUGUGGCUCCAGCUGUGGGGGCUGUGGCUCUGGAUGUGGGAGCUGUGGCUCCAGCUGCUGUGUGCCCCUCUGCUGCUGCAAGCCCGUGUGCUGCUGUGUGCCAGCCUGUUCCUGCUCCAGCUGUGGCUCCUGUGGGGGCUCCAAGGGGGGCUGUGGCUCUUGUGGGGGUUCCAAGGGGGGCUGUGGCUCCUGUGGAGGCUCCAAGGGAGGCUGUGGCUCCAGCUGCUGUGUGCCGGUCUGCUGCUGUGUGCCAGCCUGUUCCUGCUCUAGCUGUGGCUCCUGUGGGGGCUCCAAGGGAGGCUGUGGCUCUUGUGGCUGCUGCCAGUCCAGCUGCUGUAAGCCCUGCUGCUGCUCCUCAGGCUGUGGGUCAUCCUGCUGUCAGUCCAGCUGCUGUAAGCCCUGCUGUUCCCAGUCCAGCUGCUGUAAGCCCUGCUGCUCCCAGUCUAGCUGCUGUAAGCCCUGCUGCUGCUCCUCAGGCUGUGGGUCAUCCUGCUGCCAGUCCAGCUGCUGCAAGCCCUGCUGUUCCCAGUCCAGCUGCUGUAAGCCCUGCUGUUCCCAGUCCAGCUGCUGUGUCCCCGUGUGCUGCCAGUGCAAGAUCUGAGGCUCUAGAGAAAAUUCUCAGGUAGCUCCUAAAGAUCUGUGCUUCCCAACAAGUGACACCCCUGAUGCAUAUCCUCUUCCAGAGCUGAACAAUGAGUCCCCUGCUCAGGGCUUCUUUCUCCAGCCCUUGAGGAAAUGGAUGAACUAUUCCCUAUGAGGAUAUUCCAUGACCCAGGCACUCUCGCCCCUCCUUCCCACAUGCUGCGAUGUGUCUCAGCGGGACUGCACCUGGAUAGGGCCCUCAUGUCAAGGAGGUGCCUGGAAUUCCCCUUCCUGAUAAUUCCAUGGGAGACAGCAAACCUUUCUUUCCUGCCUCUGCCAGAAGUUCCAUGGCAUUUGAAGAUGGAUGUCCUAUAACCCAAAUGAUCAUGUGUAUCUAGGGAAAUCCAAAAUGGAUCUGGGUGCAGCACUAAAUAAAUUCUCCACCCAUCAGCCUGGGUCGCACUGACUCUUUUCUUCCAGUCUCUGUCUCAUUGGCAAACUGGCCACGUGUCCUUUUCCUCCCUCCCUGAGAGCUUAUUCCUCCCACUGCUGUGACUGUUUGCCAGGCCCAGAUCCCAUUCCCCCCAGAAACAGUCGUUGAACUGCUUAAUGGAGGAAUCACUAGUGUCCUGGAUGAAUGAAUGAGGAUGAGUGAAUAAAUGAGUGAAUGAGUGAGUAUGUCUCAAUAGCACACAGGGAGCCGCAGCUCGUCUCAAUGGAAUUCAGUCUGUUUUGGUCGGAAUCAUGGACUCCUGGUUCUUCCCCAUAGGAGGCUAUGUUUACGGGAGAAGGAGAUUUUUGCCCUCAGUGUCUAGGAAGGGGUGUAAUGGGUGGUCUCUGUGCCCAGGCAGGGCCCAGAGUGGGGGUCAAGCCAGGAGAGGGGGAAGCGGGACCACAAUGAGCUGUGUCCCUUAGAUGCUCUGUAGGACAGCACUGGGAACUGUUGCUCCAGGGACCCAAGACGCUGUGGCCGAG